UACAGAGGGUGCGAGCGUUAAUCGGAAUUACUGGGCGUAAAGCGUGCGUAGACGGUUGUUUAAGUCGGAUGUGAAAGCCCCGGGCUCAACCUGGGAAUUGCAUUCGAGACUGAAUAGCUAGGGUACGGUAGAGGGAAGCGGAAUUUCCGGUGUAGCGGUGAAAUGCGUAGAUAUCGGAAGGAACAUCAGUGGCGAAAGCGGCUUCCUGGACCAGUACCGACGUUCAGGCACGAAAGCGUGGGGAGCAAACAGG
rnacentral:rRNA from 1 species